rnacentral:rRNA from 1 species
UGCCUAGUAAGCGCGAGUCAUCAGCUCGCGUUGAUUACGUCCCUGCCCUUUGUACACACCGCCCGUCGCUCCUACCGAUUGGGUGUGCUGGUGAAGUGUUCGGAUUGGCGGCAGUGGGCGGUUCGCCGCUUGCUGCAGCCGAGAAGUUCUCUAAACCCUCCCACCUAGAGGAAGGAGAAGUCGUAACAAGGUUUCCGUAGGUGAACCUGCGGAAGGAUCAUUG